rnacentral:rRNA from 1 species
AGCGAACGCUGGCGGUAGGCCUAACACAUGCAAGUCGAACGGCAGCACAGUAAGAGCUUGCUCUUACGGGUGGCGAGUGGCGGACGGGUGAGGAAUACAUCGGAAUCUACUUUUUCGUGGGGGAUAACGUAGGGAAACUUACGCUAAUACCGCAUACGACCUACGGGUGAAAGCAGGGGAUCUUCGGACCUUGCGCGAUUGAAUGAGCCGAUGUCGGAUUAGCUAGUUGGCGGGGUAAAGGCCCACCAAGGCGACGAUCCGUAGCUGGUCUGAGAGGAUGAUCAGCCACACGGGAACUGAGACACGGUCCAGACUCCUACGGGAGGCAGCAGUGGGGAAUAUUGGACAAUGGGCGCAAGCCUGAUCCAGCCAUACCGCGUGGGUGAAGAAGGCCUUCGGGUUGUAAAGCCCUUUUGUUGGGAAAGAAAAGCAGCAGGUUAAUACCCCGCUGUUCUGACGGUACCCAAAGAAUAAGCACCGGCUAACUUCGUG